CGUAACGACGUGAGCGAACAUGCCCGUACGUCAGGGGAGUAAUACCAGGGAACUUAGGUCUAAUACCCCAUAGUAAUUUUGUAAGGCAUCUUAUAAGAUUUAAAGCUUUGGUGGAUACGGAUUGGCUCGCGUGACAUUAGCUGGAUGGUAAGGUAACGGCUUACCAUGGCUAUGAUGUCUAGGGGUUCUGAGAGGAAGGUCCCCCACACUGGAACUGAGACACGGUCCAGACUCCUACGGGAGGCAGCAGUGAGGAAUAUUGGACAAUGGAUGGAAAUCUGAUCCAGCCAUGCCGCGUGAAAGGAAGAAGGUCCUAUGGAUUGUAAACUUCUUUUGUAUGGGAGCAAUAAGGCCUACGAGUAGGUUGAUGAGAGUACCAUACGAAUAAGCACCGGCUAACUCCGUGCCAGCCGCCGC
rnacentral:rRNA from 1 species